rnacentral:snRNA from 1 species
UCACUUACCUGGAUGGGGUCAAUGGAUGAUCAAUAAGGUCCAUGGCCUAGGUUGGUGACCUCCAUUGCACUUAGGAGGGGUGCCCGCCUAAGAUCGGCCCAAGUGGUCGAGUCUACAUCAUAAUUUGUGGCAGUGGAGGCCUGUGUUCGCGCGGCCUCUGC